CGCACAAGCGGCGGAGCAUGCGGAUUAAUUCGAUGCAACGCGAAGAACCUUACCAAGGCUUGACAUGUGCCAGACCGCCGUGGAAACACGGUUUCCCCUUUGGGGCUGGUUCACAGGUGGUGCAUGGUUGUCGUCAGCUCGUGUCGUGAGAUGUUGGGUUAAGUCCUGCAACGAGCGCAACCCUCGUUCCAUGUUGCCAGCGCGUAAAGGCGGGGACUCAUGGGAGACUGCCGGGGUCAACUCGGAGGAAGGUGGGGACGACGUCAAAUCAUCAUGCCCCUUAUGUCUUGGGCUUCACGCAUGCUACAAUGGCCGGUACAAUGGGUUGCGAUACUGUGAGGUGGGGCUAAUCCCAAAAAGCCGGUCUCAGUUCGGAUUGGGGUCUGCAACUCGACCCCAUGAAGUCGGAGUCGCUAGUAAUCGCAGAUCAGCAACGCUGCGGUGAAUACGUUCCCGGGCCUUGUACACACCGCCGUCAAGUCACGAAAGUUGGUAACACCCGAAGCCGGUGGCCUAACCCCUUGUGGGAGGGAGCCGUCGAAGGUGGGACCGGCGAUUGGGACU
rnacentral:rRNA from 1 species